rnacentral:rRNA from 1 species
GACGAACGCUGGCGGCGUGCUUAACACAUGCAAGUCGAACGGAAAGGCCCUGCUGUUGUGGGGUGCUCGAUUGGCGAACGGGUGAGUAACACGUGAGUAACCUGCCCUUGACUUUGGGAUAACUUCAGGAAACUGUGGCUAAUACCGGAUAGGAUCUCCUGCUGCAUGGUGGGGGGUGGAGAGUUUCGGCGGUUGGGGAUGGACUCGCGGCUUAUCAGCUUGUUGGUGGGGUAGUGGCUUACCAAGGCUUUGACGGGUAGCCGGCCUGAGAGGGUGACCGGCCACAUUGGGACUGAGAUACGGCCCAGACUCCUACGGGAGGCAGAAGUGGGGAAUAUUGCACAAUGGGCGGAAGCCUGAUGCAGCAACGCCGCGUGCGGGAUGACGGCCUUCGGGUUGUAAACCGCUUUCGCCUGUGACGAAGCGUGAGUGACGGUAAUGGGUAAAGAAGCACCGGCUAACUACGUG